rnacentral:misc_RNA from 1 species
GAUGAAGAACGUAGCGAAAUGCGAUAAGUAAUGUGAAUUGCAGAAUUCAGUGAAUCAUCGAAUCUUUGAACGCACCUUGCACUCCUUGGUAUUCCGAGGAGUACGCCUGUUCGAGUGUUAUGAAGCUCUCAAAACGCAAUUGGCUUAAAACCUGAUUGUUGUUUUGGAUUUGAACUUUGCCGUGUUAUAACGGCUGGUUUUAAAAGUAUUAGCUGGUACUAGAACGAAUUGGUUCUACUCAACGUGAUAAUUACCUGAUCGUUGAGGACAUUCCUUUCACGAGGAAUGGCCAUAGUAAAUUCAAUGGACUGCUUCUAAUCUGGCUUUAAUUCUUUAUUGGAUUAACCACUUUUCAAAUCUGACCUCGAAUCAGGUGGGACUACCCGCUGAACUUAAGCAUAUCAAUAAGCGGAGGA